rnacentral:rRNA from 1 species
UACGUAGGGUGCGAGCGUUGUCCGGAAUCAUUGGGCGUAAAGCGCGCGUAGGCGGCCCGGUAAGUCCGCUGUAAAAGUCAAAGGCUCAACCUUUGAAUGUCAGUGGAUACUGCCGGGCUAGAGUCCGGAAGAGGCGAGUGGAACUCCUGGUGUAGCGGUGGAAUGCGCAGAUAUCAGGAAGAACACCGACGGCGAAGGCAGCUCGCUGGGACGGUACUGACGCUGAGGCGCGAAAGCGUGGGGAGCGAACAGG